CACAAAUGCAAGACCAACAAAUUGCAUCAGAGACAGAUGAUGUGGUCUCUGGCACAUGCCUAAACCAGUCUGUGUACAGGACUACACCAGCCUGGAGUUUAGGGAGAACAUGAGUCGAACUCGGGACCUAGCAGUUGCAAGGCAGGUACCUGAACCACUGAGCUAAAUCCUGGGUCCUUUCAUGGAUUUUCUUAAAUCAGAGGAAGAUACACCGAAGACACUGAGGUUACCUUCAAAAGAGCAGAUGGAUUAAUUCAGAGAAGGGAGAAUAAUGAUUGUGGUGAUGGAGGAGUUUUGGAGCUCAGGAGAAAGAACAACAGUGGAACUCUGCCAAGGAAGGAGGACAGAAAUUGGAGGAGAGAUUUCUUUCAUUAAGAUCCAUCAUCUUUGACCCAAAAUCAGUGUCCUGACAUAACAAAAGAUAGUAGUAUAUUUUUUCUGCCACUGCAAGUAGCUUUUACUCACUUCCUUCUAGAUUUAUAAGCAGUUAGAAGUUUUGAAAAUUUUUCAUUUGGGGAGUGAAAUGGAAACUUGUCUGAACUUGCUGAUACCUGCAAAUCCCAUAAGAUUUACUUAGACAAAAUAAUAGAUCUGUAUUUCAUAGCCUUAUGUCCAAGGCUUCAUGUCCACAAAAACCCUUAUGCAAUAAACAUGUGUAGAAAUGGA
rnacentral:lncRNA from 1 species